rnacentral:rRNA from 1 species
UAAUACGAAGGGAGCGAGCGUUGUUCGGAAUCACUGGGCUUAAAGCGUACGUAGGCGGAUUUACAAGUCAGGAGUGAAAUCCCAGGGCUUAACCCUGGAAUUGCUUUUGAAACUGUAAGUCUGGAAUCCGGUAGAGGUUGGCGGAACUCCGAGUGUAGAGGUGAAAUUCGCAGAUAUUCGGAAGAACACCAGUGGCGAAGGCGGCCAACUGGACCGGUAUUGACGCUGAGGUACGAAAGCGUGGGUAGCAAACAGG